rnacentral:rRNA from 1 species
GACGUAGGGCGCGAGCGUUGUCCGGAUUUAUUGGGCGUAAAGAGCUCGUAGGCGGCUCGUUGCGUCGGCUGUGAAAACCCGCAGCUCAACUGUGGGCUUGCAGCUGAUACGGGCGGGCUGGAGUUCGGUAGGGGAGACUGGAAUUCCUGGAUGUAGCGGUGAAAUGCGCAGAUAUCAGGAAGAACACCCGUGGCGAAGGCGGUUCUCUGGGACGGUACUGACGCUGGAGAACGCGAAAGCGUGGGGAGCGAACAGG